CCUACGGGGGACAGCAGUGAGGAAUAUUGGUCAAUGGACGAGAGUCUGAACCAGCCAAGUAGCGUGAAGGAUGACUGCCCUAUGGGUUGUAAACUUCUUUUAUAUGGGAAUAAAAUGUUCCACGUGUGGGAUUUUGUAUGUACCAUAUGAAUAAGGAUCGGCUAACUCCGUGCCAGCAGCCGCGGUAAUACGGAGGAUCCGAGCGUUAUCCGGAUUUAUUGGGUUUAAAGGGAGCGUAGGUGGAUUGUUAAGUCAGUUGUGAAAGUUUGCGGCUCAACCGUAAAAUUGCAGUUGAAACUGGCAGUCUGGAGUACAGUAGAGGUGGGCGGAAUUCGUGGUGUAGCGGUGAAAUGCUUAGAUAUCACGAAGAACUCCGAUUGCGAAGGCAGCUCACUGGACUGCAACUGACACUGAGGCUCGAAAGUGUGGGUAUCAAACAGGAUUAGAUACCCCUGUAGUC
rnacentral:rRNA from 1 species